rnacentral:tRNA from 1 species
GGGGUCAUAGCUCAACUGGCUAGAGCAUCCGCCUUGCAAGCGGAAGGUUAGGGGUACCCUUCGGGAAGCCGCUAGCCUUCGGCAACGCUCCACGAACGCGUCUACAAAUCCCCUUGAUUCCA